ensembl:lncRNA novel transcript
AGUAGAGACGGGGUUUCACCAUGUUAGCCAGGAUGGUCUCGAUCUCCUGACCUCAUGAUCUGCCUACCUCCGCCUCCCAAAGUGCUGGGAUUACAGGCGUGAGCCACCGUGCCCAGCCAGCAAAACAAUUUUCUACACAAAUGUCCUUAUGAAAUGCCAUGAACCCCAAGUACACUUGGGCAGAAUGAACCUAUUACUUCAUUUUCCCCACAGCCAAUCACCCUUCCCCAUGCCUUAGACCAUCCCACUUCCCUCAGCCAUAAAUAUCCCUAAGGCUUAUCUUGAGGAGGUGGAUUUAAUAUAAGUUGCCAGGACCAGCAGACCCUGAAACUCCCCACCCCUGCCCUUCCUAUAUUCUGCUUAAAAUUUGGUGGAUGAACCUCAUUCUCCCUUUAAUUGCAGAACAGAAAUGUGUGACACUCCCUGAGUGUCAAUGAAUGCCUGAUCCCUGCCUAACUCAGGAAAUUCUUGCCAUCUCUCCAGGUGCUCCCCUAAAAAUGGUGCUCCGGGGAAUGAUCUCACAGAACUCAAGUCUUUACCAUUUUAUGGUAUCAAAUUUCUUAAGCUCAUAGUGACAACAGUACGAGGAUGGUGCUUUUGACCUACGGUCUCAUACCUCCCUUCCUUCAGCAUCCUCGCUAGACCCAGCCUUGAACCCUUUGUUUGGCAUGAGGGACCCCCUCUCACCUGGGCUUUGGGAAAGGUUCUUGGAACCUCUAUUUCCUAACUCACAGGCCCGGAGCU